rnacentral:misc_RNA from 1 species
AAGUCGUAACAAGGUUUCCGUAGGUGAACCUGCGGAAGGAUCAUUACAAAUCCAACGUCUCGCUCGAGACCUCGUUGAAACGUUUCGGGACGCGCAUAGGGAGCGGGCAGGCCGUGGUUCGCCACGGGCUGCGCGUCUUCACUAGCGCCCCACAACCAUACACCUGUCAUUCGUUGCGCAUACGUAGUAUCUUUACAACAAAGAAACAACUUAUAACAAUGGAUCUCUAGGCUCUU